UGUACUUCUUCUAUAAUGGGAUGCAUAUAUUGAGACGUCUCUGAAUGAUAUAUCACUGGGUUCAUAAUCUUGAUAUACCAGUGUCCAUCGGAACAGAAAUACAUGACCUUCGUCAGUAAAACAACAUGGUACUUUGACAAAAUGGGACAAAAGAGUCAUCCAUAUUCUUUAAAAGUAUUAUUUUUAUUGUUUUUGGUCCAAUUAUCUACUGUUACAUGAUAAAUACCAUAUACUCUACCGAGUUAAUGACUCUCAUUUGAGAAUAUGUUACUUAAGAACUGAAGAUAACACAAAGAGAAACAAGUUGAUAAAACCAUGCAUACAAUUUUAAAUAUAUUUUCAGCAUAGGCUCCUGAAAAAUAUGACAGCAUCUGGACAGGAAAAGAGACAAACAUCUGACUCAGGAAGACAUGUUUUACAUCUACAGAAAAAAUAAUCAACGCCACAGAAUUAGCAACACUUUUUUGGUAGUCUUUUAAACAUCUUGGCUCACUAAUAAUAAAUCACUGUAUACGAUAUUACAAUUAUACAUUGAAAAUAUAUGGCACAUAUUCUUUUGUUUUCCAGAGCAUAUUAUAUAAUAUAGAAUGGCAGAUCUACUUCACUCUGUUUCUCCCCAGUCUCAUCAUCUAUCAUUCAUUAAAAUACAAACCUAAGGAAAAGCCAUUGCAUAAUUCGAAGAGAUGAAAGUGAAGGAGUGCAAAAUUAUUCAAGCAUGUUCAAUACGGUCUCACAUCUGAAUCCCUUCCUGGCCUUUGACUCACAGUGCCUUACUCUUUGUUUACAUUACAAGCCAGGCUGGAUAAUGAUUAUACAGGUGGGUUGCCAGGAGGUACCUUGGCUAAAACCACCCCAGAGAACUUUUAAAAUAAGACAACUUAAUUCAUUAUAUUUUUAUUACAGCUUUACUCUAAAAAAAUAUUAUGUUUGGCUGAUAGUUUUUAAAUUCAUAUUAUUUAGGGUUUCAUACUAUAUUUUCAUAUCAUGAAACAAUUUUAAAUACUUAACUUAAAAUUAUUGCUAUGGUAGAGGAAGAUAUUUAAAGCUACUGCAAAUGAUUUACAUAGAAAUUUUUAUCAAUUUCUCUCUUUAUCUACAUAGAUGGUUGAUUUUUUAUUUCUUUAUUUUAUGAACCUGAAAACAUCUCAUCAUUGCAUAACACAAAGUGCAUUGAGGAGUGGCUUAAAUGAGAAUAAAGCUGGUGGUAAGAGGUUGAAAAAGAGUCUUAAUAGAGCCUAAACACAGGCAGCAGAUAUGAAAAAGCACAUGAUGUGCUGUCCUUAAGGGAAUAGAGUAGCCUUAGCUGAAAUAAAAUGCUUUUUCUUUCUCUCUCUCUUUCUGUUCUUUUUCUUUCUUUCUUCCUUCCUUUCUUUUCCUUCCUUUCUUUCUUCCUUCCUUUCUUUUCCUCCCUCCCUUCCUUCCUCACUGCACCCAUGGCAUAUGGAAGUGCCCAGGCCAGGGACUGAAUAUGAGCUGCAGCUGCAACCUACGCUGAAGCUGUGGUAAAGCCAGGUCCUUUAAACCCACUGCGCCAGGCCAGGGAUCAAACCCUGCCUCUGCAGCAGCCCAAGCUGCUGCAGGCAUAUUCUUAACCUUCUGCAACACAGGGGAAACUCCCAAAAUCAUUUCUUGAUGAAGAUAAACUUGUUUGUUUUUUUAAUCACUUGGAGCUGUGUCACAAAAGAACAGGUUGCCUUCAGAAUAAAGAGCUACCUGUUGCUCUAAGAGUUUGAGGAGAAUGUGGAUCAUUCUGUACCGGGAAUGCACCAGGGAUGGUGAAAGUGCUGACAUUAAAAAGGAAGCUGAACUGAAACAGCUCACAGGUUUAUUUUUAAUUUUAAGGGUAUCAACAGGAAAUAAUUAAAGGGAAUUUGUUUUCUUUUUACAGCCGUACCUGCAGCAUAUGGAAGUUCCCAGGCUAGGUAGGGACUGAAUUGGAGCUGCAGUUGCCAGCCUACAUCACAGCCACAGCAACACCAGAUCCGAGCUAUGUUAAGGACGUGGGGUUAAGGAUGUGGCCACACUGGAUCCUUAACCCAACUGAGAGAGGCCAGGCAUUGAAACCACAUCCUCACAGGCCACUACGUCGGGUUCUUAACCUGCUUAGCCACAAUGGGAACCCCUAAAGUGAUUUUGAAGAAAGAAAACAUUUUAAAGCUUUCAUUGUUAAAUUGGGUAUUAUUAGAAUAGGUUUGUAUACAUUCAUGUCGAUUGCUCUCACUUGUGGAACUUUUGACAAUAAUCCAGAAUUUCACAUCUUACACUGAACAUACUGAAUUCAGGUCUCAGAACAGUGCCAGGUACAUAGAAGGUGCUUGAGGAAUGUUUGUUGAAUCAGUGAUUGAAUUAUAAUCUCUCCUGUUGAACAUCAGCAUGGAUACAUGUUUAAAAAUGAGUAAGGGGUUCUCGGGAGUUCCUAUUGUGGCUCAGUGGUUAACGAAUCUGACUAGGAACCAUGAGGUUGCGGGUUUGAUCCCUGGCCUUCCUCAGUGAGUUAACCAUCCGGCAUUGCCACGAGCUAUGGUGAAGUCGCAGAUCCCGUGUUGCUGUGGUGUAGGCCAGCAGCUACAGCUCUGAUUAGACCGCUAGCCUGGGAACCUCCAUGUGCCACGGGAGUGGCCCUAGAAAAAACAAACAAACAAACAAAAAAAAGAGUAAGGGGUUCUAAUGUACAGCCGGGAAUCAGAAUCACUAUUUUAAAAAUAAUACUCCACCACUUUAAAAUCCUCUUAUUUUGCUUAUACAUGAACCAUGAAAAAUACUGAGAAAACUGCCUGUUAAGACACCAUGAAAUCAUUCAAUAUAACUAGUUAUUACUAAUUUUUUUCAAAGAACUGUUUGACAAAUAUUAAAUAAUUUUUCAAAGAUAAUCUGAACAGUGGUUUACAAUUCUACCAUUAAUAGUUGGAGAAAAAUUUGACCCACAUGCUUUGGUUAUGUGUUGUUGAGGCAAAACAUUGCAGUUUCAUAAAUAAGAGAUGGUCAAAUCAAAUGACCGCAUUGCUCAUAUUUCCCAUCGGGAAUCCCUGCUAUUGCAAAACACAGAAUUAUGGACUUUUGCCCAGAAAAGUUGACUUCCUUUGCAUUUCCAAUUUGAAGAAAUUUACCCUAUAAACAACAUAGAAUUGUAAGUGUGCAUGAGUGUGUGUGCUUGUGCAUGUGUGUGUGUGUGCGUGUGUGCGUGUAAGAGAGGGAAAAGGAAAGAAAGGAGGGGACCAUAAAAACUGUAGAAAAUAUUUUUUUUCAAUUUUUUUUAAAUGAUAGAAGAAAAAAAUGAUAAGAGGAUCUAGCUUCUAGCUCAGGAUUUCUCUGUCUUUUGGACCAAUUUCUAGUAGAAGCUUCUCCCGAAUAUUUUCCCUGCCUUCAUUAUUUCCAAAUCCUUUUGGGGAGGGGGCAGGUAAUAGUUUACGCAUGGGCUCUAAGCAUCUUUGUUUGAAAAGUAUGCAUCACUUUACUUCUUAAUAAUUAAAAUAACAGCUGUCUUCCUAUGGAAGUUCACUUUAUAAUAUCAGUGUGUGUUGGUUUUUUUUUUUUUUUUUUUUUUUUUGUCUUUUGUCUUUUCGUUGUUGUUGUUGUUGCUAUUUCUUGGGCCGCUCCCGCGGCAUAUGGAGGUUCCCAGGCUAGGGGUUGAAUCGGAGCUGUAGCCACCGGCCUACACCAGAGCCACAGCAACGCAGGAUCCGAGCCGCGUCUGCAACCUACACCACAGCUCACAGCAACGCCGGAUUGUUAACCCACUGAGCAAGGGCAGGGACCGAACCCGCAACCUCAUGGUUCCUAGUCGGAUUCAUUAACCACUGCGCCACGACGGGAACUCCUCAGUGUGUUUUUGAAGAGGAAUGGGGCUGGGAUAAAAGUUUAAUUUUAAAGUUAAUUAAAUCAAUACAAUUCAUAUUACGGGCUGCUUAUUUAUUCACAAAGAGUUUAUAUAAUAAGAAUAAAAUGGGAUUGUUAUAUUUUACCACUCUUUGUAGUACAUGAACCAAAAAAUAAAAAUCAGUGUAUCUGCUAAGGAAGACAGCUCUGGUGUUAUGGGUAAGGGGGAACCUAUGUAUUUAUAUUUACUGUAUUUUCUAAAAUAUUUUAUUGAAAAGCACCCAUUGUCUUACAGCUACAAACUGUAAUUCUUCUUAUCCUUUUUAGCAUCCCUUUAAAACGUCAAAGUGACGAGUUAUAAACUUCAAGGUCUAAAAUAUAUCAUGGAAACUGGAAAUGGUGACUAUCUGCUAGGUCAGAGAUCAUUGUUCGGGAAUUCCCAUAGUGGCUCAAUGGUUAAGGAACCUGAAUAGCAUCCAUGAGGACGUGGGUUCGAUCCCUGGCUUCACUCAGUGGAUUAAGGAUCUGGCAUUGCAGUGAGCUGUGGUGUAGGUCACAGACAUGGCUUGGAUUCCAAAUUGCUGUGGCUGUGGUGUAGGCCAGCGGCUACAGCUCUGAAUGGACGCCGAGCUUGGGAAUCUCCAUAUGCCUCGGGUUCAGCCCUAAAAAGACAAAAAGACCAAAAAAAAAAAAAAAUCAUUAUUCGGUGAUCAUUGAAAUAGGAUUAUUUUGUACUGCUCUGAAUGGCACUAUGGCCCCAAGGAAAAUUACAAAGGCAUUGUGGAGAACAAGAUUUGGUUAUCAUUAUAUUUAAAAUUUCAGUAUUUUAUAGAAUCCUAAUCCUCAUAGUCAGACCUUUCCACUGCCUGUGAGUCAGAUAGGUUCAGCUAAGGAAAGUGCUUUGUCAAAAAUAUUGGAAAGACAUCACCAGAAAGUCCUUUGAUUUUACUUGAGCCAAUUACACAAUUUGGGGCACAGUUUUAAGAAAUACUGAAAUUUGUCACUUAAAAAUAUUGUGCAGUUUUUGCAUCCAAAUUCCUCUCUGAAAGGUUCAUGACAUCAGCAAGUUUUUAUAGUCUGGCAGAGUUGAUGGUGCUAAAAGUUCCAACACCUCUAUAACAGCAUAUAACUCACUCCAAAAGCCAAGCAUGGGCAAUGAAAUUAUCUAGUUCGAAAACUGAAUACCCAAAGGAACAAGCAAAAUGUAGUUAUCAUAAUUGUGCUUAAUAGGUAAAUAUAACUAAAAAGACAAGCUUGUAAUUAUAAAGAUGCAAAAACUAUUCUCUGAGUCACUAAGACAAUUUCCAUCAAAUCCCCUCGGAGAACUAAGGUGAUUAUUAGUGUAUAGAUUAUAUUUCCAUGGAUUAUAUUUUCCUGGGAUAGACUGUUAAAAUUAAAAUACCUUGCGGGUGGAAACCAUACUUAUCCUCUUAAUGUGUUUUAAUCAAAUUCACUACUUUACAAUCUUUGCCUUGUCAGCAUCAGUGAAUACUGAUGGAGUACAUAAAAGUUUAUGCUGUGUCCUUGGAGUGGUUACUUUUCUUUACUAGGUUAGCAUCAACUAGAUGAGAAAUACAUGUGGUACAUGCUCAUAAAUUUUGAUAGCUUUUGCUAUUUGUAUGUUGCACAGUCUGUGAAAUCUCUUUUAGAGUUGGAAACAUGAUCUCAAAGGCUAUUCAUGACUGAUUGGUCUAAGAACUGCGUCCCAUAUUCAUUCUGAGUUUCAUUCUGAGAGUGUCUGAAGUGAGGGACACCUGUGAUUUUCAGGAUUGCCUACUUCCUACUUUUUAUUUGAGAUUAUUUUCUACUUUUCAUAUUGCCAAGUCCCAUAUUUCCUUGAGUCCAUUUCAUGGUAUGUGUACUUUAUAGGUAAAAGGAAAAUUGAGCUGCCAAUGUAACAUUUAGUCUUUCAAAGUGACUAGCAGGUUGAGGUAUAUCACGUUAAGAAUAGAAAGGUGUGUUUUUAAAAAUAAGAUGAGAGACAUUCAGAAAAGGGGAUGUAUAGUAUGGAGGAUACACAUAUUUUUCUUCUAAAAUCAUAACCUCAAGUUACACGGGGUGCUAAAGUAGUUAACAACUUACUCUCUUCUGUUGGCUUAUUUUUUUUUCACAUUUUUUUCCCUAAAAUCCCCAUUAUCUUCGAUAAGAUCUUUGGAAUUCACAAACCCAGUGCAUGUAUUCAUAUUUUAGGGAUACACAGAUUUAGAGCAUUUAUAAAUCAAAAUUAAGAUAAUGGUUAUUAGAAUAUAUUCAUAGACUAGUAAUUGAUUAUUGGAUAAGUAGUCAUAAUGGUCCCUUAAAUACAGCAGUUGGGAGUUGGAUGGGCUUUCCAGGUGAGCAGAACUGUUAUGGAGAAACAUCAUGAAAGUUUGGAGACUCUUUCAAGACCCUUGGCUUCCUUGCUUCUAUGGUUUCUUUCUAGAAUUUGUUUUAAAUAGUAAAGAAAGUUCUAGGUCCUCACUCUAGUUGAACUCCACUUCUAAUGGUUAGGAAAGAAAGAGAAGGAUGGUGUGUACAUGCUAAGGUGCAAGGUUUCCUUAAAAAUUCACAUGGAACCAUAUAUUUCAAUAGUUGAGAGACAUAAUUAUAAAAAAAAAGUGAAGUAAAACUACAUGUAUAAAAAUUACAAACUUUCUGACGUGGCUAUUUUGAAAUACUUCAGAAAAUCCACUUUAGAAUUCCAACUUAUGUGUGAGUAGUUAGUGCAUAUGCACAUUUUGAUCUUCUCACCAUGGAUAGAUUUCUGGUUGGUUUAAUUUGAAAUAUUAGGGCUUGACAUAGGGCUUAUUUAGGCAAAUCCUACUGAGGGAUGGUAAUUACAAUGUAGCUUUCCUGUUUUAAAGGGUCUAUAAGAAUUCAUUAGAGGGGACACAUUCCUUCAACAAUUUGGAUUCAGCUAUAUUUGCUAUGUCACUGUUGCCCUAUGAGUGAAAUGUUGGAGUAUUUACUUAGUGUUGUUAGAUAAUGGUAAGUCUAUAUAUGCCUAAGCAAAGUAUAAUCCUUUUUUGUGAUAGAGCUCUACCAUAGCAACAUCCCUGCUAAAAACAUUGUUUCAUGGCUAGUAUUUUUACAUUCCAAGUUUCAGGUUUAAAAAAGAGACAUUUUUAAUACUC
rnacentral:lncRNA from 1 species